rnacentral:rRNA from 1 species
UACGAGGGGGGCGAGCGUUGUUCGGAAUUAUUGGGCGUAAAGGGUGCGUAGGCGGUUUGGUAAGUCUGAUGUGAAAUCUAUGGGCUCAACUCAUAGUCUGCAUCGGAAACUGCCGGGCUUGAGUAUGGGAGAGGUGAGUGGAAUUCCUGGUGUAGCGGUGAAAUGCGUAGAUAUCAGGAGGAACACCUGUGGCAAAAGCGGCUCACUGGACCAUAACUGACGCUGAUGCACGAAAGCUAGGGGAGCAAACAGG